rnacentral:rRNA from 1 species
UACGUAGGGACCAAGCGUUGUUCGGAUUUACUGGGCGUAAAGCGUGCGUAGGCGGCUCGUUAAGUUCGUUGUGAAAGCCCCGGGCUCAACCUGGGAACUGCAAUGGAAACUGGCGGGCUUGAGUAUGGCAGAGGGGGGUGGAAUUCCGCGUGUAGCAGUGAAAUGCGUAGAGAUGCGGAGGAACACCGAUGGCGAAGGCAGCCCACUGGGCCAAUACUGACGCUCAGGCACGAAAGCGUGGGGAGCAAACAGG